GUCGACUAUAGUCUCCCCUCUCUCGGGAUUUGUUUUGAGAGAAAGAGCGCUGUUUCUGUACAGCAAAAGAAAACAUGUGUGUAUAUUGAUUAUUUUGAAUGCGCUUGGAGAAAGUUCAAUUAUACUAUUUUCUUGCAAAAACGCGGACACAAUGUGACAAUGUUGACCAGCAGACUGGGUUAUCCAUGACGGAUUGGUAAAGAGCUGUUCAUUAAUCAAGGAAAACGGGACGUAGGAAUGGGGAAACCUCAGUCCAAACAUGCGGGCAAACGUAGAGAGAACCCCGAAGGAGACAGUUUUGUUGUGAACGCUUUCCUCCGAAGAGCGAUGGGGGAAUGUGAGAUGUACAGCUCCUCAGAUCACAAACUGAACAACAUGCAGGAGUUUCCACAUAGUGAGCUGAAGGGAGACAGCUCUUAGACCAUCACUGUCCCCUAGAGGGUAAGUAGAAGAAUACAUGUUUCUAUGUUUCAGACUGGUAAGAUAUGAGUAAAUGCUUUCAUAUGCAGAGCACAGAUCUGGCCCCGUCAUCCACAAAUCGUCUCAGAGUAGUAGCGCUGAUCUAGGAUCUGUCCAUAUAAUAUGAUCUAAAAGGCUAAACUGAUCCUAGGUUGCAAGUUUAAACCCCUGAGGUGACAAGGUACAAAUCUGUCGUUCUGCCCCUGAAUAGGCAGUUAACCCACUGUUCCUAGGCCGUCAUUGAAAAUAAGAAUUUGUUCUUAACUGACUUGCCUAGUUAAAUAAAGGUUAAAUUAAAUUAAAAUCAGCUCUAACAAUCACUGAUGCUGCACAGUUAUCUACACGACUUGUAUGUACAGCUAAAUAACAAUCUCUGAGUCCACAUUCUAUAUGAGCCCAUGAUGAAAAACCUAUUUCCUAACCUAUUUCCUAGUCCAAGUGGAUGUUGUAAAGUCUUCAACAUAGUCUCAUGUCUGUUAUGUCUCUGUG